GCCUCAGCAGGGAGACCGGGCUGUCAGCCUCCAGAGCACUUCCCUGCGAGGGAGCAGAUAAGAGGGAAAAGGGCUGGACUCCACAGAGGGUGCCAGGAGGCUGCACAGCCAUGCCAGGGGAUUGAGGAACAUGUGUCCCACGCUAACCAGAACUAGCAGAGGCAGCACAGGGAUUUUCCUCUCUCCCAGCAGCACAUCUCCACCUGAGAUGGCUUGUGGUGCUCACAAAGGGACCAUCACAGUGCUGAAAAACAAUGCCAGGAAAAUGCUCAUGUUGUUCAGCAACUGUGACUCCUAUUUCAUGGGACUUCAGGUUUUGCAGACAUUUGGCUUUCUCAGGCUCAGUCUAAAUCCAGGUUUUGGAAGACAAGAGCUGACUGCACAUGAAAUCAAAACGAUAAUGGUGGCAGGAAAUAAUUGGGGGA
rnacentral:lncRNA from 1 species